CGCUCACAAGAUCUUGGAUGACAAGCACCUGCGCAUCCAGUACGGACGACAGCCGCAUCGACGGCAUGUCGCCUUUAUUGCUGACGAGCAGCGGAGCGAUCUGGAGCAGCCUAUAUGCGUUUCAACAUGGCCGCGCCGACGGUUCAUCGAUUGUGCGCUGCCCGGCAGUUCUUCGAUGCCGGAAACAUUUUCUUCACGGCGGAGUGCACGGCCAAUCUGGCGUGCUCGUUUCGACUGGAUCGAGGAUUGUGUGCUGUGUCGGAAUCGCCCCUUCCAACUGUUCGUCCCGUUUCAGCCACCGCAUCUCUCUGGGACGUGCAGUCACGUGCAACAUGACCUGCAACACCGGUGCCCGUACUCGAAGGGGCUCCAAGACUGUACGGCUGCGCAGACACGGGUUCCUUGGAAAGCGGUUCCCGCCUGGUGAACGUAGGCCCGUAGCGGUACCAUCGAUGUGACCAGUGCGAAGACCCUUACCAGGACCGCCCGGCCGUUUGAUGCUAGCAGUGGCCGUACCAGGGUCUGCUGCGCCACAACUCGACCUUGCUCGAGCAGUGGAGAACGUCGCUCGUCUUGAGGUAAUCCUGCUCCGACGAGGCUUCACCGGGUGUGACGCUGGACAAUCCAUCGAAGCCGCAUGCAUACCUGGCAUCUGUUGCGAAUACAAGAAUAAGAACUCAGACUCGUCUUACGCCAGAUUCUCUUGCAAGCAUCAUGAGUAGGGCUUGCACCACUAGGCGACAUUUUGUACUUCGGCCUUCACAUUGGUUUAGUCGUGAUAUUGUAACUCUUUGAAGGGACUAAGCCAAUAUUCAGCUGUGGAUUCGGCGACGUAUACGGUCGUCCAUUGUUAGAAAAACACACCUCAUUAGUAUUCAAGCUCUCAGAGCAGCUUCAACAUGGCCAGAAAUCCCGCAGACUAACUUAAUUCGUUAAUAAUAACCGGUUUAUCUUUGUAAUCUACAUUAGACGUCGUAUGCGGCACAUUAACAACACAAAGUACACAAAAUCCAUAUCCUCGUUGCACUGGCUUGGAUGGCAAUGACGUAUUUCCCAUAGAAGUGAUCGAACGUGUCAAGUCGGCCACAUAACAUUACCUGACACGGGAUACGCGAAGGACCUAAAUUUCCGCGAAGCUUUUCAGGUCAAAGCUCGAAGCCUUGAUUCCAAAUAAUGAGUGAGUAGUUUCCUUGGUACACGGCCUUUCGUUAAAUAAGGAGU